UCUCCAACACCCAGCUGUCCGGAGCUCCUGAUGCCCCCGGAGAUGCUCCUGGUGAUGAUAUCCACGGCACAGAGGACUCAGACUUGGUGCCGUCUGUCACCCUGGCUGCAACCCUCAUCCUAGUCUUCCUUCUAAUGUCAUUCUGGCUGGCUUGGUCACCCUGCCAAGUCUCCUGCUAAGCGGGCUCCUGAGCGGAGGGCAGCAGGACAGUUGGGUUUCUAGCCCCACUCUGGGUCAAUGACACUCAGUGCUGUGGGAAAUCGUUGCAGGACGCGCCUCUGGGACACUACAGCUUGGACUCCUUCCUAUGUUUGGGCAGCUCAUGCUCACCUGGUCCACUUCUCUUGAUGACUGUCUUUAACCAUGUCUCCCAUCGUUGUGAAGCCAUGCCGGGGACUGCAGAUAAAACUGAAUGACUUCAGUUGCUUGUGUCAGUGAGUGGGGAUAAUUGUGUGGUCAACUCGUCCACUCUGGGGCCUCAGUUUCCCUUGUCUUCAAGGUAGGAUGGCAGUGCCUGCUUCUGGGUACUUUGAGGAAGAUGCCUCGUGGAAAGGCCUUCUGUAGUCCUCUCUGAUAUAUACCUGAUAUAUACUCCCCCCAGUAGGCCAGCCUCUGAUUCUACAGCACUCACCCAGAAGAUAGACAUAGGAGCGGCCUCCAAAAGAUGUACUGGUCUCCGCUGCCAUCUGGUGGUAGAAGGUACAAUUGCACCCACAUAGAGGUUCCCUUUGGGGGUGCUCCAGGGACGAGUAAACAAUUGUUUGUUUUUUGAGAUGUGAAAUUUUGAGAUUUUGUGUGAGCACAGAUCCCAUUAGACAGUGGGAACCGCUUUGACAUUAGCUAUUGGUGUCCGUUCCCUGUCUCUCUGUUUCUGUGAUGGUUCUAAAAGCCACUGGAGAAGAGGCAAUUCUCCCGGCAUAAGGUCUGUAUGGAUGGAAUGACUGGUGGCUUUUUUCUCGGAACACUGUGCUCCUGACUUACGCAGCCUGAGUUCCAGGGGGCCUUCCUCUCGGGCCUCACCAACAGGCAGGGUUCUGUCGGUUGGGUCUGCGAGGUCAAGAUCAUGGAACAAACCGACAAGAGCCCUGCAGGCAUCCACAGCCCCCCCGGGAUCUCAGCUUUGCCAAGCCUGGAGGAAGGGUUUACCGAAGCUUGCAGAGAAUACACGUUCUGCCGGUUGGGUCUGUGAGGGCAAGACUGUGGGACAAACCUGCAAGUACCCCCAGGCAUCCACAGGCCACAGGAUCUCAGCUUUGCCAAGCCUGGAGGAAAGGGUUUACCAAAGCUUGCCUAGAAUACACUGGGUAAUCCCGGGCUACUACAGCUUGGCUGGUGGCCAGAGGUUGGUAGGAAGCUCUGCAGUGUGAAGGCUUGUCUCUAGGAAGGGGAAGUCAGAGACUUAUUCUUGUUCUCCAAAUGCUGGCGUUCCUUCCAGGAACUCAGGGUCCAUCAUUGGGGAUUCAAAGAAACAGGAGGGGAGGGGGACUGGUGGCAGGGAGGCCUUGAGCUGUGGUUUCUGAACUAUUCUUUGCCCCUGUCAGGGUCCCAGUAUAGGGCGAUGCUCCUUCCUGGGAACACAAAGCACAUGACUGUGAGCCCCACUGGGGACAAACUCCUCUGAUACGGCACGACAACAGUCUUGGGCCAACACUUGGGUCCUGCCUGCCUGGGCAAGGUGCGAUUCCAAUUCCCUCAUCUCUCUUGAUACCGCCCACCAGAUGCAGAACCAGAACACAAGCACGCCUUUUCUCUUGAUGGCUGAGAUCACUGUUGCAAACGUCAGUCAGGUGUGCCAGCGUCCUCCUGGAAGUCAUGAAGACUGCUGGCUCAGAAGAGCUGAGCAAUGGACAAAAGCUCCCCCAGGCCUGUUUGCAUGAAGUCCAGGCUCUGCCCAAGGUCCCAGUGCCAACGAGCUACCCAGGCAGGCCUGGGCAUGUGCAUGCAUCGUUGAAUGGGAGUCAUGAAAAUGUCCUGUGGUUUCCAUGUUUCCUGUGGCCAGCUAGCUCCAUCUGGCCCCAUUCCUGAAUUCUCACAUGUCCAGGCCAUCACCACAGGUACCUGGGGAGAGUGCAGGCCAGGAAGCAAUUGCAUCUGCAAGGAAAAUAUUGUUUUGUGUAAUUCAGUGGCCCCUUCUAUAAACAUUGUGGUUCUGCCUCGGGA